rnacentral:misc_RNA from 1 species
AGCAGAAAAAAGGGCAUACAAGCAAAAGCUAUUAGAGAGACUAUAAUAAAAUCUAUAUAAUUUGAUGCAAAAUUCACUAAGCGAUUGAUUCCCACUCUCUCAUUGUGAUAGAUACCCAAACUCACACCCCCUACCAAAAAAAAAAAAAGACUUCUUUCUCUCUCUGCGUAUAUUUCUUUCUCCCUGCAACUCUCCCCUUCUUGUUCUCUCUCAAUGACCAACUCAUAGAGAGAGAGGUAGCGAUGAAGAACACCAUUAAAUGCUGUAUCUCUUGCAUUCUACCAUGUGGAGCUCUAGACGUGAUUCGAAUAGUACACUGUAAUGGUCGGGUAGAAGAAAUUAGUGGCACAAUCCAAGCAAGCGAGAUCAUGAAAGCAUACCCAAAGCACGUCUUGAAAAAGCCCUCUUCUCCCUGCGAUGAUGGGGUGGUUCCAAAGAUCGUUGUAGUCCCACCUGAUGCUGAGCUUCAGCGUGGAAAGAUCUAUUUUCUCAUUCCACUCCCAUCAACCCCAGAGAAUAAGAAGCCUCCUCGAUCAAGAAAUUCCAGCACCAACAGAAGGAAAAGAAGAGAGAAUAAUAGCAACAACAAUAGUGAAAGCAACAACUUGAGCAAUAACGUCGUCAGCAACUCCAUUUCAAUGUCCACAAACCUUCUCAUUUCUGAUCGGUACCUGAGUGAGAUACUUUCAGAGAAGCUAUCAACUCAGAGAGAUCGAAGGAGAGGUCGUGUUGGGGUGUGGAGACCACACUUAGAGAGCAUAUCUGAGACCCCAAAUGAUGCUUAAAGGAGGUUCUUGAUGAGUUUGUAAUGAGCCAUAUAUGAUUUUUCUUUUUCUUUGCGAUUCAUUCCUGCGGUUCUUAUCCAUUAGGGUUCAAGAACUCCAUCCCUAUUAUUCAUUUUCCUUUUCUUUUCCCUACCCUUCUCUUCUUUCUUUCAUUUUUUUUUUUUUUGAAUUUCCCCUUUUUGUGUAUAUAGAGGCAUAGAGAAAAAUGGCAAAUAAUGCAGAAGAUGAGUCAAGGUUUGGAAAUUGAUGUUGGUGAUGAUGAUGAUAUUAAACAGUUGUGGCAGGAUCUUGCUACUCCAUGUAUCAUCAAGCCAUAAGUAAUUGCUUUGAGAGCUUCUUUAAUAUUCAAGUGUGGCUUUUAAUUAGUACAGAAAUUCAUGAAGAGAAAGCAAUAUAAUUUUUGUAAUCUUUUUGAGAGAGAAACACAUGUGCAAAAUUUUUUUUUCUUAAUCUGUUUGUAAGAAAUAAGGAAUAGAUAUUGUUACUGAGAAUGGUCACAUUUCUACUGUGUGAAGUACCAAACAUUGUUUCAAUAAGAAUUGAAAAAUGAUUGUGCAA